UACGUAGGGUGCAAGCGUUGUCCGGAAUUAUUGGGCGUAAAGAGCUCGUAGGCGGUCUGUCGCGUCGGAUGUGAAAAUCCAGGGCUCAACCCUGGACCUGCGUUCGAUACGGGCAGACUAGAGUUCGGUAGGGGAGACUGGAAUUCCUGGUGUAGCGGUGAAAUGCGCAGAUAUCAGGAGGAACACCGGUGGCGAAGGCGGGUCUCUGGGCCGAAACUGACGCUGAGGAGCGAAAGCGUGGGGAGCAAACAGG
rnacentral:rRNA from 1 species